GUGGUUGUGGCUCAGUGGUAGAGUGCUUGCCUACCAUGUGCAAGGCCCUGGGUUCAAUCCUCAGCACCAUA
rnacentral:tRNA from 1 species